AUCGAAGUUAAUGAAAAGGGAAUCUCGUUUUUACAUAGAGAGGCUUUUCUUCCCAGGUCUUCAAAGUCUCUUGGCCAGUUUAAAAAAAUUCCAUUUUAUAGACAGGAAUACUGAGGGCUAGAAGUUUAGUUUAUUUCUCUGGACCACAUACAGCAAACUAUGGAUGACAGGGCUUGGACAUGGAAACCGGGUGAUACCAUCUUAUCAGAGAGCUCGAACUUUGAGCCUGGGGUCCUCAGCCUUUGGUACCAGCAUUUCCGGCAGAGAGGCUGCUCAAGGAUUUAGAUGAGCUUUGCAUGCUCAGUAUCCACAGGAUUUUCACAUGGCCAUUCUUGCUGCCUGGAGGACUGCCAGGAAGAAGCCACCUUGCCUUUUCUGAAGAAACAGGAAGAACCUGUGUCUGGUUGCUGUCACCAUCUUUGCUCUGCCACCUCUGACUCUGUGCUCGGGCUGACCUGACCCAGGGGUGAGAAGAGCUGCAGGAAAGAGGGAGGAUGCCAUCUGCAAAGGGAGGCCUUUGCCAAGUCUGUCCCCUGAGCCUCCCCAUGUGGUUCCCAGGAGCUGAGAGAGCAUUAGAGGCUGGGCAGCAUCUGGGCACAGCACACUCUGUCCACGGAGCUUAGGUGAAACCCCUGCCCCACUGGAUGCAACAGAGGCCUGAGACCUCACCAAGCCUCAGUGUCCCAUCUGUGAAAUGCACCCUCCCUGUGGUGACACCACGGUGACUGGACCGCUGGAAGCUGGGCCCUGGUGUUGCUUCACCUCUCUGGUGAUUAUUUUUUGGCUGUUAGCAAAGGCAAGGGGAGUCGGUUUUGGGUUGAUGGAAGGACCCAGAAUUGAAACAGUUUUCAAAAGAUCCCAUUAAGUGCUGCAUUUUUGUUCCUGCAUGUGGAUCUGUGGGGGCACCAGGGCUCGAGAUAAGAUUACAAAAUACCAUGUUAGGUCGAGUAAUUUGAGAAAGAAUCACUCCCCAGAGGCAAUUUGCACUAGCCCCUGCCUUUUAUUGUACUUUUUAAUUUAAGAAUAAGUUUUUUUUUAAACUAUAGAGAAGUGCCAAAAAAAAAAAAAAGACAAAAAUGACCUAUCAUCACUCAAACACCCCUUUGAUUUGUUAAAAGGAUGAACAGAAUAUAUCUACCUGGUUAGAAAAUUCUAGCCGCACAGAACCAUCGAAAUGAAAAGUGAAACUUUCUUCCUGUCCUCACCUCUGUCCUUAAAGGCGAAGGUGGUUACAGUCUUUUAUGAGUCUUUCCAAGGGGGGGAAAGAAAAAGCAGACAGCCGAACUCUGUUUCUGUGUAUGUGCUCUUUCAGGGAACGCUCCAGAGCCAGGCUGGGUGCACACAGAUGGGGUCUGGAGAUCUGAUCUUUGCACGCCACCAGCUCCACCGUAUCCACUUUAUUCUCGUCCAUGGAUGCAUAUCAACAAGGGUUUAUUAGAACCAGAGUAUUUGUAAAGAGUGCCAGCUUCGUGCUCUAAAUGAAUAAAGACGGGAUUCUGAUGCAUUCGUUAUUGGAGGAAGGGCUUCGAGUGAAUUGUUUGAACUUUCCUGGGAAAGGUGGCUGCUUUUUGGCAGGGAGCAAGGGGAGCAAACUAAAAGGCAGGAGGUGUGGAGCUCUGUCCUUCCGAAGACAUCCUGGCUUGUCCUAGAGGUCGCCGAAGGAUGCUCAAAGCUGCAAGAGACUGAAAAAUGCAGUCUUCCUUUCUUUGGAAAGGAGUCUGUCUCUCUAGGUCAGGGGAGAGAGACAGAGGCAGAGGGGUGGGGUAGACCCUUGCUUGAAGAAAUCCUGGAUGGGAGUGAAAUGUAAACAUCCAGCACCGGCACAAGCAGUCUUUUUACGAGUCCCCAGUUCACUUGAAAUCCAUGUGGCAUUAAUCUCUGAUGGGUGGACCUGGCUUAUUGACAACUGUGUUUCCCUAUUUGCUUGUUUCUUGACUCCUGUUAAAGAGGAUGGGAUUUAUUUAAUGGAGCGUUGGUCUGGGUUAGAACCCACUUUAGAUUUCCUGGCAUCAGUUUCUCUCGCUAGAAUUACAUUGGCCAGGGUUUCUUUUCAAAAGAAACUCUACCUGCGUUGUGUUCUGCGGGAUAAUAUGGAUUUAGAAUCUCGCCAACAUGUGCCCGAGGAACUCAGCUGAAAGCGUUGUGCAACCAGGCAGGCUAUGUAAUGAGAAACAUUUGAUUCUCUUUUUUAAUGGGCGGGAAUGAUGCACAGAAUGGUAUUUGGGCUUCCCCUUGACCUUGCCGUUUGAACUAUAGCCUCCCUCACUGUGCCUGAGAUAUUUCUAGCCAACUUAUUGGAUCUCAACUUUAAAAAAAAAUUCUUCUGUUUUGGGAUUUUUUUUUUUUUUAAGGGACAGAGCAAGGAGGAAUCACACUGCCUUCUUUUUCAAGGCAAUAAAAUGAAAACCACACAUGUAGUAACAGUCCAACUUGGGAAUUCUAAACACUUGGAACAAUUAUACUCAAUUUAGUCUAGUCUCUUCUUUGGAGUUGAAACCAGUUGAAACCCCUGCUUCAUUCUAAAGAGCUUUUCUCCAAGAGACCGGUCAAGAUCCUCCUUGGAACACACAUCUGUUUCUGGGCUGGCCAAAUCCAAAAGUGGAAUCCCAAUUACAGUUUUCAUGGGUGAUGGAAUUUCAACUGCCUUACAGUUUAACCACCUGGGUUGCCUUCACUCGUUUUCUUCUUGAGGAUGAAAUAAGCUGAUUAAGUGUUCACUCAGUUUAUUAAAUUACAUUUCCAUCCUGUAACAUUCUAUUUCCUUUUUCUCUGGUGAGAUAUAUUGACUGGAUGGAUUAUCUCCAGUGUCUUAUAUUGGCCACACAAUUUUCACUUUUGGGACGUUCUCCCAGUUGCUAGUGGAUGCGGUUUUAGCUUUAUAGGAUUUAAUUUUCCCCCAAACAACAAACAACACAACAAAAAUUCUUUAACUAGAUGGUUUUAAUUUAACAACGAACCUCUUGGAUGAAAAAAAUGAGAAAGAUAAUUUGAAUGAAUGGAAGGAAAUGGAUUUCUUAAAAAGAGUUGCAUUGGAACUUAAAGCUUGCGAAACAUUAAAAAAAAAAAAAAAAGCGCCUCUGGCGAACAAGUUGUAAUAGGAUUAGCUUGAUCUAAGAAGAGAAAGUAUCAUUCUGGCCACCAGGGGGAGCAACACAUUGUUCCAGGAAGAUAACAGACGAAUGCAAAGAUAAUAGUAUAUAUAGAACCUUUUUCUUGUUUUAUUGACGUAUAGUUGAUUUACAAUGUUGUGAUGUAAAUCACAGUGUACAACAAAGUGAUUCAGUUAUACACGUACACACAUCCGUUCUUUUUCAGAUUCUUUUCCCGUAUAGACCAUCCCAGAAUACUGGGGAGAGGAAAUCCAUCAUUCUGUUAACAUGGUCCACUUGUGAACAACAUAUUUACAAGACAAAUGCUCUUCCUGUUGUUGUUGUUUAUUAUCACUGAUAAUCAGAUGCUUUGAUUCUGGAACAAACAGGAUAGGCGGGGUGUAGAGUGAAAAACCGAUUUUCGAGGCUCACCGUGUGAGAAUGAUCAAGUAAGUCAGACAAUACCAGGAGCACCUUAACGAUGUUUCACUUCUAAGUUUGACUCUCUAAGAGAUACAUGUAUUCAAUUCUUCGAAUCUGGGAACCAAUAAUGAGUUUUAAAAAGCAACUUAGUUGAAAUGGAUGUCUUCGGGAAAUAAAAUAAACGUUAUAUUUG
rnacentral:lncRNA from 1 species